ACCCUUCCCCAAUUCCAUUGCCCUUCUCUGCACAUCCUCCAGCACCUCAGUGUCCUUCCUGCACUGAGGGUCCCAGAACAGGACACAGAAUUUGAGGUGUGGCCGAGGACUGGGCCAUCCAUUCUCUCGUCCUGCUGGGCACGCUAUUGCUGAUACAAGUCAGGAUGCUUAUCUUGUAGCAGCUGCUUAACCAAGGGGUGUUCAGCUCUUUGGGGUUUCCCACUUACCAACUGGUGUACCUCCUGUGACCUGCAUAGCCUCAAUGUAGGUUUUAAAAGGUCAAAAUAAAUUGUUUCGACCUUCCACGGUGCGGGGGAGAAAUUGUUAUUUCUAUUCUGCACCGCAUUUUUAUUCCACGGUGGAAUGAGAUUUUUUUUUUUUGCACUUGUUGCUGAAAAUUGGGGAUGUCUUGUAAACUCACCAUUCCUCGACUGGUUCUUUCCACAGCCCUUCCUGAACAGCAGCUUUGCAGACUCCUCUGGGCACAUUGCCAGAUGGAAGGGAUGCCUUUGCAGGAGAGAGGACUGAAAUCUUCUCAUUGCUUAAACCACCCAGAAAUGGCCCACUUGUCUGCCUCAGAGGAAUCCUAGGCUCACAAUAGCCGUUUAGAACAGGGAGCUGUUCAAACACGUAUCCGUCAUCCAUAGCUUCCCAUGUCCUGUAACAUACCUACUGCUGGGAUAACUGAGCACCUGCCAAGAUUCUAUAUUGCUAGCCAUGAAGUCCUCUUGAAUUUAUCAACACAGAAGCUUACACUGCUGCCUGGCAAGCUUUUGUGACUCAACCUUAACCUCUAAGGAUCUUCUGAAGAUGAGAAAGCAUCAUAUUCUCCUUGCAGAUUUAAUCACUGUUUCCUCUGCUGUGGGCUCUGACUGACAAGAUGGUAGAGAUAUCCUUAGCUCAGACAAAAUCACCUGAAAGCAGUGGCUGCUACAAAGACACAGACCACACACUUGUGCCAUGCAUUGUGUUUGGCAUCCCAGGUUCCCAAACAAAGCACACAGCAAAGCAGAAAACUGCCCACAGCCUGAGGUGACCGACUGACCAUCAAGGUCGGUCAGUUGCCUUCCAGAAGACUCUGGGCCAUGUUUGAGCUGCUGGUCCACGUGCAAGACACUCUCUACUCCCUCACUGUCCCUUGAGCUUCAGAAGGAUGCUUACAACCUUGCAAAAAGCCCCCCCAAAACAUGGCAAUGACGCAUCGAGUGACACUAGACGGCAACUAGAAGCCACCAGAGGAGUGCUGAAAGAUUCCCACCUGUUAACAGUAAAUCAUUCCAUUAUAACUCUAGAAAAAACAAAUGUGACUUGUCCCAUGCACCGAUGUCUUUCUCAAGUGCUGCUUUUCACAGAAGUCCAGGUUUAAGGCCUCUCCCUUUCUUUUUCUGGAUGCUCCCCGUUUCUCAGAAUAUGUCCCAGAGUUGGAGGCAAUUCCCUUGCUGAGACACUGCAUUUCUCACCUGCUGAUUGCAAUUAACCACUGCCAGCUGGGGUCUGGUGAGCUGCUGAGGAGCCAACAAGAAGCAGAGACCAGCACGAGGCCUCGGCUGCACAUACCCUGAGAACAAACAAGAAACGCAGUGCUGUGUUCCUGAGGUGCCUCCACUGUAAAACAAGGUUCUCAAGGCCCAGUGUGUGUGUCAGUCUGGUUUUGGAGGCUCAGCUUGCUCCUCAUGCUCUUACACAUUGCCAUCAUGUGUUUGUUAGAAAGGAAACGUGGAAAUAAAGGUUGCUGUAGGUAAAAACAAA